GUGCCAGCAGCCGCGGUAAUUCCAGCUCCAAUAGCGUAUAUUAAAGUUGUUGCAGUUAAAAAGCUCGUAGUUGGAUCUCAGGUGCAGGCGGGCGGUCCGGCUCGCGCCGGUCACUGCUCGUAUCUCCUGCCCUACCGUUUGCCGGCUCUCUCCCGUGGGUGCUCUUCACUGAGCGUCCCGGGUGGCCGGUGCGUUUACUUUGAAAAAAUUAGAGUGUUCAAAGCAGGCCUCGGCAGCCUGAAUAAUGGUGCAUGGAAUAAUGGAAUAGGACCUCGGUUCUAUUUUGUUGGUUUUCGGAACGGAGGUAAUGAUUAACAGGGACAAACGGGGGCAUUCGUAUUGCGGCGUUAGAGGUGAAAUUCUUGGAUCGCCGCAAGACGAGCUACUGCGAA
rnacentral:rRNA from 1 species